GCAGGCUUGUUCACUUUUAAUUACUAGAUCACCUCUGGAGGAAAACUCAUCAGGCUGCAGCAGCUAGCUGUGGUGGGAGCCUGCAGAAAGGGUCAGAACAUGGAUAGGAAGAGGUGGGAAGGUGGACACUAAGACCCCAGGAUGCCCCAAGUUUUCAAGAGCCCUACGCAGCCGGGUAUGCCGGGUAUGACUAAGGACGGCCCUGGCUUCUACAGACUCUGAGCAUGCAGACCCUGACAGUAUCUCUACUCUUCUGGUGGCAUAUAAAGUACAAGCACUGCAUGACCAGCAACAGCUGCCGGAGCCUUUCGUUUCCAUGUGUAGUUACACACGGCCGCAACAAGCAUGGACGCAGUCUGCAUUUCACUGCAAUGAUGAUGAAGAUGAGAAAGAGGAUUUGAAGUGGCUUGAUCCAAUGAGCUCUCCAGGGUACAGUAGAGAGUGAAUCAGUCAUGCCCAGCAUGCAAACAUUAAACAAACAAGAGAGCCAUAGAAGUUAUUUUGGUAUUCUCUUGAUUGAUGGCAUCAUUUCAGCAAAAUAUCCCAUGUGAC